rnacentral:misc_RNA from 1 species
AAGUCGUAACAAGGUUUCCGUAGGUGAACCUGCGGAAGGAUCAUUAACACGUAUCCAACGUAUACACCCCUGUGGUCUUGUGCGCGGCUCUAUAUGUGAGUGGUAGAAACUUUUGUUUGGUACCUGCGUGGUACCAGCAAGUUCUACUAGCCUUCUGCGAGAAAGCAACUUCGUAUAGCAGACGUUUUAACCAACCCAUUAAACCCAAUUGACUAAUAUAGAAAUAAGUAUGGUGCGCCCUGCUUUAUUUCGAAUUACGAAACGAUAACAACUCUUAACAACGGAUAUCUUGGUUCUC